rnacentral:rRNA from 1 species
CUGAAUAACUCUGCUGAUCACACGGUCCUAGCACCGGUGACAUAUCUUUCAAGUGUCUGCCCUAUCAACUUUCGAUGGUAGUUUAUGUGCCUACCAUGGGUGUAACGGGUAACGGAGAAUAAGGGGUCGACUCCGGAGAGGGAGCCUGAGAAAUGGCUACCACAUCCAAGGAAGGCAGCAGGCGCGCGAAUUACCCACUCUCAGAUCGAGGAGGUAGUGACGAAAAAUAACGAGACGGUUCUCUUUGAGGUCCGUCAUCGGAAUGGGUACAAUUUAAACCCUUUAACGAGGAUCUAUUGGAGGGCAAGUCUGGUGCCAGCAGCCGCGGUAAUUCCAGCUCCAAUAGCAUAUACCAAUACUGUUGCUGUUAAAAA